rnacentral:rRNA from 1 species
GACGAACGCUGGCGGCGUGCCUAAUACAUGCAAGUCGAACGCAGUGGGGACGGGUGAGUAACACGUGGGUAACCUCCCAUCAGAGGGGAUAACACUUGGAAACAGGUGCUAAAUCGAUACUGAUGGAUGGACUCGCGGUGUAUAAGCUGGUUGGUGAGGUAACGGCUCACCAAGGCCACGAUGCAUGGACGACCUGAAGUGGUGUUCAGCGACGCGGGGAUUGGGACGCAGCCCAGACUCCUACGAGAGGCAGCAGUAGAGAGUCUUCGGCAAUGGACGAAAGUCUGACCGGGAAACGCCGCGUGAGUGAAGAAGGUUUUCGGAGCGUAAGACUCUGUUGUAAGGAUAGCGGUAUCUAACCAGAAAGCCACGGCUAACUACGUGCCAGCAGCCGCGGUAAUAC